CCCGAUUGAUUCUGUCGGCGGUUAUAUGCUUAUCUCAAAGGCUAAGCCAUGCAUGUCUAAGUUCAAAUGGCCUAUAAAGGUGAAACCGCGAACGGCUCAUUACAACAGCUAUUAUAUACUUGAUCUUGAUAUCCUACGUGGAUAACUGUGGUAAUUCUAGAGCUAAUACAUGCACCAAAGCUCCGAUUUUCUGACGAGCGCAUCUAUUAGAUUAAAACCAAUCGGGUUUCGGCCCGUUAAUUGGUGACUCUGAAUAACUAUAGCUGAUCGCAUGGUCUCGAACCGGCGACGUGUCUAUCAAGUGUCUGCCUUAUAACUGUCGAUGGUAGUUUAUGUGCCUACCAUGGUUGUAACGGGUAACGGAGAAUAAGGGUUCGACUCCGGAGAGGGAGCCUGAGAAAUGGCUACCACAUCCAAGGAAGGCAGCAGGCGCGCAAAUUACCCACUCUCGGCAUGAGGAGGUAGUGACGAAAAAUAACGAGACCGUUCUCUAUGAGGCCGGUUAUCGGAAUGGGUACAAUUUAAACCGUUAACGAGGAACUAUGAGAGGGCAAGUCUGGUGCCAGCAGCCGCGGUAAUUCCAGCUCUCAAAGUGUAUUAUCGUCAUUGCUGCGGUUAAAAAGCUCGUAGUUGGAUCUGCGCCUCAGGAUCUGGUCCGCCCACUGGGCGAGAACUGGGCUCCUGGGCUAGUUCUGCUGGUUUCCCUACGUUGCCUUCAUCGGUCGCGUAGGGUGGCUAGCGAGUUUACUUUGAAAAAUUAGAGUGCUUAACGCGGGCUUAUGUCUGAAUACUCGUGCAUGGAAUAAUAGAAUAGGAUCUCGGUUCUAUUUUGUUGGUUUUCUGAUCUGAGAUAAUGGUUAAGAGGGACGGACGGGGGCAUUCGUAUCGCUGCGUGAGAGGUGAAAUUCUUGGACCGUAGCGAGACGUCCGACUGCGAAAGCAUUUGCCAAGAAUGUCUUCAUUAAUCAAGAACGAAAGUCAGAGGUUCGAAGGCGAUCAGAUACCGCCCUAGUUCUGACCGUAAACGAUACCAACUAGCGUUCCGUCGGCGGUAAAUAUGCCUUGACGGGUAGCUUCCCGGAAACGAAAGCUUUCGGUUCCGGGGGAAGUAUGGUUGCAAAGCUGAAACUUAAAGAAAUUGACGGAAGGGCACCACCAGGAGUGGAGCCUGCGGCUUAAUUUGACUCAACACGGGAAAACUCACCUGGCCCGGACACCGUAAGGAUUGACAGAUGAGACUCUUUCUUGAUUCGGUGGUUGGUGGUGCAUGGCCGUUCUUAGUUGGUGGAGUGAUUUGUCUGGUUUAUUCCGAUAACGAGCGAGACUCUAGCCUAUUAAAUAGUCAUCGGAUAAACAAGUCCGGAAGACUUCUUAGAGGGACAAGCGGUAUACAGCCGCAUGAAGUUGAGCAAUAACAGGUCUGUGAUGCCCUUAGAUGUCCAGGGCUGCACGCGCGCUACACUGGAGGAAUCAGCGUGCUGUAACCAUUGCCGAAAGGUAUUGGUAACCCCUUGAAAAUCCUCCGUGAUCGGAUCGGGAAUUGCAAUUAUUUCCCUUGAACGAGGAAUUCCUAGUAAGUGUGAGUCAUCAGCUCACGUUGAUUACGUCCCUGCCCUUUGUACACACCGCCCGUCGCUGCCCGGGACUGAGCCGUUUCGAGAAAAGCGGGGACUGCUGUUUCGAGACCUUUCGAGGUGGAGAUUCUUUGGUGGAAACCGCCUUA
rnacentral:rRNA from 1 species